rnacentral:rRNA from 1 species
CCCUUAGAUGUUCUGGGCUGCACACGCGCUACACUGAAGGGAUCAGCGUGCUCUCCCUGUCCGAUAGGACCGGGUAACCCGCUGAACCCCCUUCGUGGUAGGGAUUGGAGCUUGCAAUUAUUCUCCAUGAACCAGGAAUUCCCAGUAAGCGCAAGUCAUAAGCUUGCGUUGAUUACGUCCUGCCCUUUGUACACACCGCCCGUCGCUACUACCGAUUGGACGUUUUAGUGAGACAUUUGGACUGGGUCAGAGUAGUCGAAAGACUAUUCUGUCUCGGAAAGACUUUCAAACUUGNGNGUCUAGNGGAAGUAAAANUCGUANCA